CCCCAAACUUCACUUCUGUUACUGCCUCCGACUUCCUCCCACAGACCAGGAGCCAAGCUGGAGACUUUGCUCUACAAUCAUUUCCUUCCCCGGCUCAUUUUCUAAUCCAAACAUUUGAGGAUGAGGUAUCUGGGUCCUUAUUUAAGCCAUCAACUGGAAAGCAGUCAUCGUCCCCGACACCUCAGCAAAGCACAGAGAUUUCCGCAGCCAUAAUAAAGGUCAGGAGAGGAAGAGACAGAGUUAUCUAAAUCCACAGCUGUAUCCAGGUUCAUGAAGAAUGGCAGAUUGAGUCUUGAGAAGCCAGUGGAGAACAAGAUGAAGGCAACACGUGUGCUGUUAUUUCUUCUUUCCUCCAUCCCUCUUCCUUUCCUGUUACAACAACAACAGUAAUCACAGCAAGUAAAAACAGCAAGCCUGUGACCCCUCUGAACCGAUGGUAUCCAUC
rnacentral:lncRNA from 1 species